GCGAGGUGCUGGGCAGCCGUCGGCCAGAAUGGCUGAGGAAACUCCGCCCGUCACGCGGGGCCAGAGCGAGGGAACUCGCAGGGCGAGAGCUCUGCUCCAGGCACAGAAACAAGACACGCGAGCCCAUAUGGGAAUGAUGCGCUUGGCGCUGACGACAGCUCGUGGUGGUGAAAAGGCCUGCCUCUGGGACGCAAGGAUAAGCAUCGCCGAUGACAGCCGCGAGGAGGCGAAGGUGAUCCGCUUAGCUAAAUGCUGCCUAAAACAGAAGGCGGGUUACGGGCACCACGC
rnacentral:RNase_P_RNA from 1 species